AUUGAACGCUGGCGGCAGGCCUAACACAUGCAAGUCGAACGAGUGGCGGACGGGUGAGUAAUGUCUGGGAAACUGCCCGAUGGAGGGGGCUAACUACUGGAAACGGUAGCUAAUACCGCAUACCAUCGGAUGUGCCCAGAUGGGAUUAGCUAGUAGGUGGGGUAAAGGCUCACCUAGGCGACGAUCCCUAGCUGGUCUGAGAGGAUGACCAGCCACACGGGAACUGGGACACGGUCCAGACUCCUACGGGAGGAAGAAGUGGGGAAUAUUGCACAAUGGGCGCAAGCCUGAUACAGGCAUGCCGCGUGUAUGAAGAAGGCCUUCGGGUUGUAAAGUACUUUCAGCGGGGAGGCGUUACCCGCAGAAGAAGCACCGGCUAACUCCGUGCCAGCAGCCGCGGUAAUUC
rnacentral:rRNA from 1 species